rnacentral:lncRNA from 1 species
CCGUUACAACCACCGAGCGAGACACGCGUGUUUUAACUAGCAGCGUUCAAAGACUGAACUCUAGUCUUACUUCCGUUUUCUCAUUAUUACAUUUUGUUAAGUUUAAAAUAUAUAUUUUGUAAAAUCCUUUUUGAUACGUUUAAAAUAUAAAAAUAUUCUAAUAAUAUUCUUCCCUAGUGAAUUAAUUAUUAUUGCAUAUCGACGAACACGCUACAAAUCUACGAACGUGUCAUAUAAGCUACAUUUUAACAGCAUAAUUACCACGUGUUGUUGAUGCUAUAAAAUUAAUUAAAUUUAUUUUGUAGUGAACGAAAUACCGUAUAAUUCAAUUAUUUCCACUUUUUAAAUUUUUGGUGUUAGCAUAGCCGGCCACGUGUUACUUAGACUGAAGUGUAAAUUGCAUUCAUAUUAUAAUGAAGAUAAUACAGUGAAAUUAAUCCUGUUUUUUACUUAUUUGUGCUUCAUUGAUCAAAACUUUAUAAUUUAAUUUGAAUAUAUGUAUUCAAAUGCCACGGAAAAAAUCUAACCUCAACAACGCGAGCACCAGAGAGGCACGACGCAAACGUAUUAAAAGAGCCCAUCAGUUGGCAGAACAAAUUGAAUCAAGAAAUCCAGCUCAAAGAAUCAGGACAGCAGAAGGUCAUGCACAAGAAUCUCAAGAACAGUGUAACGAACGUCUUCAAGAGAAUAUCAUAAGAACAAGAGCAGCAGGAGAACGAGACAUAGCCACAGUAGGAGCACAGGAACAAUAAUUUCAAUUUAUACAUAUACAACAGUUGUUACCAGGCGAUCUGAUGUCUUUUAAAUCAAUCGAUACUGUUGUUGAUGAAAAUGAAAGUGUAAAUUUUCCGAUUGAAUUUUUAAAUUCAUUAGAUAUCCCUGGAAUGCCACCACAUAAUCUUCGAUUAAAGAUUGGUUCCUCUAUUAUUCUCCUCCGUAAUUUGAAUCCACCUCAAUUAUGUAACGGUACGCGUUUGGUCAUCAAAAAGAUCACCGGAAACAUUCUUGAAGCAACCAUUUUGGCUGGGAAGUUUAAAGGAAAAGUGGUCCUGCUGCCACGUAUUCCGAUGAUACCAUCAGAUUCUACCAUACCCUUCAAAAGGCUACAGUUUCCAAUUCGUUUAGCUUUCGCCAUGUCUAUAAAUAAAUCUCAAGGUCAAACAAUGUCCAUUUGUGGUUUAGAUUUGGAAAAUCCAUGUUUUUCUCAUGGGUAACUAUAUGUUGCGUGUUCACGUGUUGGGAAACCGUCGAAUCUAUUUGUGUUAGCUAAAGACAGGUUAACCAAAAACAUUGUGCACCGAUUGGUGUUAAAUUAAAUUGAAAUUGAAAGUAUUUAUAAUUCAAAAAAAUAGAUAUUAAUAUUUAAAAGUUUAAGACUGUCUGCCUUGCCUACCUCAUUCAUGAGUUUAAGCGUCACAUGUUAUUUACUGUAUUAUACUGUAAUAUACUUAUAUUUGUUAUAAAAUUAAAUGGAAAUAAUAAA